UCCUUGUCAUUUAGAAGAAAGAAAAAGUCGUAACCAAGUUUCCGUAGGUGAACCUGCGGAAGGAUCAUUAUCGUACAACCGAGGCGCAAGAGGCUGUCGCUGACCCUUUAAAAGGGUUGUGCACGCUCGAGCGCUCUCACACAAUUCCAUCUCACCCAUUGUGCAUCACCGCGAGGGUCCCAGUGGCUGUAAAUGCCCCAAGGUGGGAAUGCGAGGCGAUGUUCUCCCUCAACGGAGUCACGUGCUUGUGCGCCGAGUUCAAGACUGUCCCCUCCAGAAAACUUUGGUGUCCAUAGUCCCUCGCAGCGUAGGCUGUGGCUGGAUUUUGGAGUAAUCAGCCCUUGUCUAGCCAGGGAAGAAAUUCCGCAGGUGCCAGGAGUCACAGAGUUAGUCUUAGGAGAUCAGGGCACGUCAUCUGUCGCGCGGAUGCGCCGUAUCCAUCGUUGACCUUAAUACCUCGCGUGGUCAUAUAAAAGAUGGGACACAAUGGAGAUCGUUACCUUACGUUUUGAUGUCCCACCCUAUCAAUUCAACUUUUUACAAAGGAUGUCGGGGCUCCCGGAUUGGGGAAGAAUGCAGGGAAAGGUGAUACGUAAUGUGAACAGAAGAACUCAGCAAUUCGUUGAAUAGUGUAGUGCGCCUAGCGCCCAUUGGCAAUACGAGGGGCCCACCGGUUUGAGUGUUGUGAAAUCGACAAAAACCGCAGUUAAAUGAUCCAAGUAAUCGGGAAAAAGGAUUCAGACAUGGAGGUUUCAUGGUCGCCUCUGCUUUCAAAAGUGAGCUCCUGUCAAAUGAAUUAUUGGGGUCGUCCUUACAACAUCCAAGCAUGAUAAGUUGUUUGGACGUUUUGGACACCGCACGGUCUUUUAGAUGCCUGGUCGUACCCUUGUCCCGUCAAAUAAUGGUUCUUCUUUAACCCCAUCUACAUGGCGCGAGCCAUAACAUCAAUAAAACUCACCUCUCUCUC
rnacentral:rRNA from 1 species